rnacentral:rRNA from 1 species
UACGGAGGGGGCUAGCGUUGUUCGGAAUUACUGGGCGUAAAGCGCACGUAGGCGGCUUGGUAAGUUAGAGGUGAAAGCCUGGAGCUCAACUCCAGAAUUGCCUUUAAGACUGCCGAGCUAGCAGGUGAGAGAGGUGAGUGGAAUUCCGAGUGUAGAGGUGAAAUGCGUAGAUAUCGGGAAGAACAUCGGUGGCGAAAGCGCUCUACUGGACCGCAACUGACACUCAGGGACGAAAGCUAGGGGAGCGAAAGGG